CCGCCACUUCCGCCGGGUGGUCUACCAGGGCUGGGCGCGGACUCGUGGGCCUGUCUCCUGACGCUGCUGGAGGGGGCAGCGUUCGUCCCACAUGCCGAGCAUCAGCUAGGGCAUCAGGACAACAACGGCACUCGCCACUCGGAGAAUCUUAGAGAGCAUAAGCGACAUGUCGAAGAUUCUGGAGCUGGGAGAGCCUCCUCAGAAUACAGGGAUUGUUGAGCUGCAGACAGAAGCAGUGGAUGCAGCAGAGCUCUCUGCCUUCCCCUCUUUGCCUAAAAGCAGAACAUGGAUUUACAAAGACAAGGUAUUCUGUCUCUCCCCUCUACCAGGCAGAACAAAGGUUAACGGCGGAGGACAGUUUAGACCUUUGUCAGCCUUGAGAUGAUACCAGAGGAAUUUAUAUUAGUAGGCUUUACUAAGUAACCCUAGUAUGCCCUUUGUUUGCCUUUUACCCCAAGUUGCUGCCCACAGAGGCUCAAAGUCCUUUUCCUUUGUCUUGUGACUUCCAUAUAAAAAUGUACUAUUCCUGUUGAAGAUGCUGUGUAAGCUGGAAUUCAAAACCACCUCUUUGAGAACGAAUGCUCUGGUGUUUCCCAUGUGUAUAGAAAAUAUAUGUUUUAAUAAAUUUCAAUUCUUCUCUUGUUA